rnacentral:sRNA from 1 species
UGACGAUGUCGAUGACCGAGGUAAAUGC